AAGUUCCACCGAGAUUUGAACUCGGAUGCUGGAUUCAGAGUCAGUGCUAACCAUUAACAUGGAACC